rnacentral:rRNA from 1 species
AUUGAACGCUGGCGGCAGGCCUAACACAUGCAAGUCGAGCGGAUGAAGGGAGCUUGCUCCUGGAUUCAGCGGCGGACGGGUGAGUAAUGCCUAGGAAUCUGCCUGGUAGUGGGGGAUAACGUCCGGAAACGGGCGCUAAUACCGCAUACGUCCUGAGGGAGAAAGUGGGGGAUCUUCGGACCUCACGCUAUCAGAUGAGCCUAGGUCGGAUUAGCUAGUUGGUGGGGUAAAGGCCUACCAAGGCGACGAUCCGUAACUGGUCUGAGAGGAUGAUCAGUCACAAUGGAACUGAGACACGGUCCAGACUCCUACGGGAGGCAGCAGUGGGGAAUAUUGGACAAUGGGCGAAAGCCUGAUCCAGCCAUGCCGCGUGUGUGAAGAAGGUCUUCGGAUUGUAAAGCCCUUUUAGUUGGGAGGAAGGGCAGUAAGUUAAUACCUUGCUGUUUUGACGUUACCAACAGAAUAAGCACCGGCUAACUUCGUG